CUCCACACUCCUCCUCAUGCCAUGAUUCGGUUGGCCCUGAUAACAUUGAAGGGUAUGGCGCAGUGCAGGAUCUGGCUGAUUACUUGGCUGGACUAAGAGACCACCGUCUUGCGCUGACUCAGGAGGAAUGUAGUCAGGUCAUUGCUCUGUGGCAGGAACUGGGGGAGUAUGACAAAAAAAAAACUGUCUACCCAGCUCGACACCAGACCAGCCUGAGCAAGGGACGAUUCUGGGCUACGAAGAAGAUUGUGGCUCCAGGUGUGGAGAGCACCAAAAGGUACUGUAGGCGGUGCAAGGCACAGGAGCAGGAUAUUUUAAAGCAGGGUC
rnacentral:lncRNA from 1 species